CUAGCGGAUAAGCAUAUAUGGCAGCGCGGGUCCACCCACUCCACCCCAACGCCUAUAGGGAAAAAAAUCUAUCCCAUCAGCCGCCGCACGAGGCAAAUCGCCUACAUGGAAAAAAUCCCUUUUGAAAAAAAAACUAUCCCUUCGGAUCCAUGGCGAUGGCGGAGGGCGGAGACCGGAGGCGAUUGAUUCUAGUUCUGGUCAGAUCCGGUCGACAGGUUUCCCCUGCCGGAUCUUGGCGGCGGCGAGUCCCAUACUUGAUGCUGAAGCCACCCAAACUCUGGUUCGCACAACCGCCCAGUCCAAAAUUGGUGAUGUGGGCGCCGCGGUGGUCACACUACAGUUAGAUUUGAACAUCACUUGUGAGGGGCUGAGUUUGUCGGCGCCCAACUCAGAGGAGUCAAUCGGGAAGGAUGGUCCUCAGGCACCGGGCUGGACGAAGAGGUCCGAGUGAGGCAUACACCUCUUGAACGUCCACUUUGAUGGCAGAAUAAGUGACCUGGAGAAAACAUUGACAGGUUGUGCAUAGAAGAAGACUGACACUGUCGUAGUUCCUACAGUCGGAAACAACUUUGAUUCGCUUGGAGAAGCAUAUGACUAUCACAACAUGUAUUCCUGGGAACUUGGGUUUGGAAUUAGGGUCCAAAGAAGAAGCAACACACGGUCUUGUUGAUGUAGGUGCCCAGCGAUGAUACGGGCUCCGGUUAAAAGACAACGGCUAGUACAUAAGCGAGCACAGGACAUCCCACAAUCACUCUCUUACAGGUAAGUAUGGUGAGAAAGUAUACUGGCCUUCACACAGACAUAUCGAUAUAUAUACACGUGAACUUGUUAAGCAGCUCCGUGAAAAUAAUAUUAGCUUCGGCAAGGUGUACAGUAUAAUUUAUACACUCGAUUGCCAUCAUAAAACGUUCUCUUGGAUAUAGCUUUUCGGCGCCACCAAAAAUUGCCUGUAUUGGUGUCGACGAUCACUCUUAAAAUGAAAAGAAUUGGCAUUCAGAAGAUACUUUUGAGGUGUGUUAAAUUUAUUAGACAGCCCGGUAGGAUGAGGUGUUCUAUUUUACUUGAGUAAGGAUCUGGAGUAUUAGUUGUGUUCUUGCAUGCAGCACCUAUUUUUAGCCUAGACUAUUUAUAGAUUGAGAGUGACAUUCACAUGUGAAUUACUUAAUUCGAUAUGUUACACCUUAAGGACGUACUGAAUUCAGUACUUUUACUUAAUUUGGCUUAUUGACUGACCUUGCAUCAGUACUAUAUUUAGCAUCUCAAGAACACUUGUGUAGUUUCUUGGUUUUAAACUUUUAAUCAGCUUCCAUCCACUUCAAAUGUAGUUAAUUGGCCUUAGUUUUAUCAGCAGUCCAUGGUUAUUUGAUAAUUGUUAAGUCUUAUAAUUGAAGUAGCUUUUGUACAGCAUCGCAGCUCUUGUCACACAUGUUCGCUUGAAAAAGCCCUUUUUUUCCUUUGCCUCAUAUUGGCAUAACCUGAACAGUUCACAAAUAGUUCUCCUUGUUCUUGUUGUUUGCUAGUUCUUGCACAUAUAUUAGAUGACUUCUGAGCUGCCAACAAAGCCAAUUUUUUUGUUGGUUAUUUUCUUGGAGAAUGGAUAAGCUGCAUUCAUUUUGCCAAGUCUUUGCUUGCUUGUUCAUGCAAAGAUCUGUUUGCAUGCUGCAUUCAUGCAUGUCAAGACUUUGAAUUCAUUUAUGUGUCUCUUCUCUUCACACGAAUUAACUUCAACCCUUGUCACGGGUUUGACCUAUGUAGUGUCCAGAAAAAAGAUGCCUCACAUUUGUCAUGGGUUUGAUCUGAUGUUUGGUAUAUGAGGCCAUGAACUGAGAUUCCAUUAUUAUUUUUUACUGCUGUUUCCUUUAAUUUUUCGUUUCUUACAAGAAUUUUAGUAUUUGACACUAUGUUUCAGUUCGCGAUGAUUAGAGAAGAUGGUGGAGGAGGCUGCUAGGCUUGCCAACGUGAUGAGAAAGGAACUAAUUAACUCUUAGUUUACUUGAGCUUCUUGCAGAGUGAGUUCUGUUUUCGCGACUAGUUUUGCCACAAUAAAUCCAAGAAUGAACAUUGGGCCCACAUGAAAGCCCAUUUGUUGUUCCUGUAAAACAUAUUCCUUUUUUAUCAUUCACAGAUUCUCCUUGGUUUGCUCUUCGAGUAGAUCAUUCUUUCUCAUGCCGGAAAAUUUAAAUGCCUACUACUACCAUAUUUGUGAAAUGUCUUAAUGUUGUUGUGCUAUAUUUACGAAAUAUUAUACAUCAGAUUGUGCUUAAUACCGCUACAGUUGGAAAAUGUUCGAUGAGCAGUUUCACAUAUGACCAGUUUGAAUGGUUAUACUCAGCUGGGAUUAACCAAAUAGUUAAUCAAUAGCAGGGAUUGCAGGGUUGCUAGGUUGACAAGUAGGGGAUCAACCCAAUCACUGGGUGGAUUAAUUCCACUAGGGGACUGGUUCCCCUAUAACCAAACAAGACCUAUGGUUGCCCUGCAUCUGGUGGAACAUUGUAACAAAGUGGACUUUGCCUUAAACGCGUUGGUAAGUUUCAGAAGUGGUGUUCAUCGUCCUGCACAGUUGGCUUUUCCUGUAGGGUAGGACCGGUGAUGAAAGCGAACACGCCAUUGGAGCAGCAUGCGAGUGAGGUGUACACUAGUGCCCAUGUUAGAGAAGCUUGGCGAGAUACUGUACGAAGCAGGGCAGUACAAGGUUGAACCAGUUUAGCAACGCGUGAAGUACCUAGUGCAGCGGCACCAUCCGGAGAGGCUUGACAAAAUGGUGCAAGGUGGUGUAUGAGGUCACCGUUGAUGGAGGGGUGAUCGGUUUCUAUGCGAGUGUGGCAACUUUGAGCACACGAAAAUGUUGUUCUGUCAUUCACUGAAGGUGCAUAAAAUUUGUUCAAUUGCUUCAUGCCUGUGGUGACGGUGUUUAAUGGAUCAACAUGCGGCAUCUCAAUUAAUGAUGCUAUUCUGGCGCAAGUCAUGGAUUUUAUGGGAGUCACGGAAUCACACCAGACAGGGGUGACAUACCGAAGAAACUGAGGAGGUAGCUGAAAUGCACCAACUGUGGUGUAUGUUGGUCACCGUCGAAAUACGUGUAGAAACCCAAGUAUGGUGCUUCAUGCAGUGCCUCCUACUGAAACAGCAAUCCGGCUGGAGGGGGCAGUUAGGUAGUUAGCUUUGUUUCUAGUGUUGCAUCCAAUUUGUACAAUUUGAUGUUGUCUUGUGAGCUAGUAGGAUUUUCCUAAACCUGUGUACAUUUUACGUAACCGUGUGUCACACGGGAAAUAAGCCACCCCUCGGUGUGGUGAAGUAUUGUGAAAAAUGAUGAUUUGUUAACAAGGCAUGUUCCUAUA